AUGCAGGGUUACUAUCUCUGCUCUCUCUGCUCUCUCUCUACUCUCUGCUCUCUCUCUGCUCCCUGCUCUCUCUCUGCUCUCUCUCAGCCUGCUCCCUGCUCUCUCUCUGCUCUCUCUGCACUCUCUCUGCUCUCUGCUUUUCCUGCUCUCUAUGCUCUCUGUUCUCUCUGCUCUCUCGUCUCUCUGCUCUCUCUCUCUCUCUUUUCUCUGCUGCUCUCUCUUUUCUCUGCUCUCUCUGCUCUCUCUCUGCCCUCCCUGCUCUCUCUCUGCUCUUUCUGCUCUCUCUCUCUGCUCUCUCUCUGCUCUCUCUCUCUCUCUGCUCUCUGCUCUCUCUCAGCCUGCUCCCUGCUCUCUCUCUGCUCUUUCUGCUCUCUCUCUCUGCUCUCUGCUCUGCUGCUCUCUCUCUGCUCUCUCUCUCUCUGCUCUGCUGCUCUCUCUUUUUCUCUGCUCUCUCUGCUCUCUCUGCUCUCUCUCUCUGCUCUCUCUCUCUGCUCUCUCUCUCUGCUCUCUGCUCUCUCUCUGCUCUCUAAGCCUGCUCUCUGCUCUCUCAGCGUGCUCUCUGCUCUCUCUCUCUUCUCUCUCUCUGCUCUCUGCUCUGCUGCUCUCUCUCUGCUCUUUCUGCUCUCUCUCUCUCUACUCUCUCUCUGCUCUCUUCUCACUCACUGCUCUCUGCUCUCUCUCUCUAUUCUCUCUCUCUGUUUUCUGCUCUCUCUCUCUGCUCUCUCAGCCUGCUCCCUCUCUCUGCGCUAUCUCUCCCUCUGCUCUCUCUGUUCUCUGCGCUCUCUCUCCCUCUGCUCUCUCUGUUCUCUGCUCUCUGCUCUCCCUCUGCUCUCUCUGCUCUCUGUUCUCUGCUCUCUCUGCUCUCUCUGCUCUCUCUCUCCCUCUGCUCUCUCUGCUCUCUCUCUCACUGCUCUCUCCCUCUGCUCUCUCUCUCUGCUUUCCCUGCACUCUCUCUCUCUGCUCUUUGCUUUCCCUGCUCUCUCUGCUCUCUCAGCCUGCUCUCUCUCUCUCUUCUCUCUGUUCUCUGCUCUCUCUGCUCUCUCAGCCUGCUCUCUGUUCUCUGCUCUCUCUGUUCUCUGCUCUCUCAGCCUGCUCCCUCUCUCUCUUCUCUCUCUUCUCUGCUCUCUCUGCUCUCUCUGCUCUCUCUCUCUGCUCUCUCUGCUCUCUCUGCUCUCUCUGCUCUCUCUCUGUUCUCUGCUCUCUCUCUUUCUGCUCUCUCCCUCUCUGCUUUCGUGUUUUUGGUUAUGCCAGAUUAAGUGA
rnacentral:lncRNA from 1 species